GCUGAAUUGAGAUUAUACUUGAAGUGUGUUUGUGUGUGUUAGAGAAUUUGUUAGUGUAUUCGCAUGCUGGUACGGUCUUGAAGGGUUUGUUUUGCUCAAA